rnacentral:rRNA from 1 species
UACGAGGGGGGCGAGCGUUGUUCGGAAUUAUUGGGCGUAAAGGGUGCGUAGGCGGUUUGGUAAGUCUGAUGUGAAAUCUAUGGGCUCAACUCAUAGUCUGCAUCGGAAACUGCCGGGCUUGAGUGUGGGAGAGGUGAGUGGAAUUCCUGGUGUAGCGGUGAAAUGCGUAGAUAUCAGGAGGAACACCUGUGGCGAAAGCGGCUCACUGGACCACAACUGACGCUGAUGCACGAAAGCUAGGGGAGCGAACGGG